rnacentral:lncRNA from 1 species
ACGUCCGCCGGCAGAGCUAACCUUUCUCUUGGUUUCAGGCUUUCUGGGCCUGGGAGUCUCAAUGACGGGUCCUUCUUAGGGCGCAGCAAUAAUUUAGUCAGAUGUCCUAAGGGCCGGUCGAAUUUACUGUGCUUAUUCCAACAGACUGCGUCGACAGCUACAGUAGGCUCGCCUCUAUUUUGGCGUAGCAAUGUUGAGUUUUGGCAAAGCCAGGACUUGAGGUUUUGAGGCCCAGCCACUGGAUGUUUAGAGGUGCAAAAAAAAAAAAAAAUAGACAUUUAUAAGCUCUUUGGCUCGUCCUGGGUUAGAGGAGAUGGGGGAUAAUUUCUCUUGUGUUACCCUCAGCACCUACACUCCUUGUUUGUGAAUAACUUCGCCCUAACCGCUUUAAUAAUUUACCACGGUCUGGGAAUGCCUUUAGUAGCAGAAGCAAAUAUAACUUUCGAAAAGCCAAGUUAAAUUAUCCUGUUAAUUAGACAUAGACAUCCCAGUUCGUUUGCAGGAAACAAAUGUAGUUUGGGUACGCCCAAUGAAUAACUGAAGGUGUAAAGUUAUGAGUCCAGAAUUUGGAGGGAGGCCAUCUGCCCAACACUUUUCAUGUUUUGCUGUGUUCACCCUUUAUGCCUCUUCUGCUUGCUACAUACAGUUCUCUUUGAAAAGCCCAGCGCCACCCUUCCUUCCACAUUUCUUUUAAUUAGUUUUCCUUUGUAAAGUGAAUAAUCACCUUAUUGGUGACAGUUGAAGCAAAGUGUACUUACUGGUCUAUGUCCGGCCCGAGUCACAUGUCCUUUACUGGCAAAUUAGGUUAUUGUCCACCUGAUAGUUGUUGAAGGGCUGAACAUGAUCUUACACUAGGUCUCAGAUGUGUUUAAGCAAUUUGGAGUCUUGCCUUGAAGUAGCUCGGCUUUCGGUUACAGGAUAUUGUUGAGUUUUCCUGCAUCGAAGAAUAAUUGAGAUGGAUAACUUGAGAAUUAGGAAGAUUAUUUUUGAGCUGCCCAGGCACUGAGUUUCACCAGGCCAGACCUCAAUACAGGCAGCCAUCCUCCUUGAUUCCUGGGCAGGUUAUUCAACCUCUGUGAAUAAUUCUUUUAUAUAUAAAAUUAAAAAAUAAGAGUGUUCAUACUUCAUCCUUACCAUCCUCUCCAGUUCAGACUUCACUACAGGCAGACACCAUUUUAUGUGUACACAGAAGAGAAGGGAAUUUAUCCUUUAGAAGUGGAAAUGGUGGUUUUGUAAUGAAGUGGAAACUAUGAGUCUGGGGUUAUAUGGACAUUCAUAUCAGUCUUUAGGGUUUGGAUGUUUCUAUAAAUGUGAAGAUAGAACUUGAUUGCAAGUGUUUCUUUAGCAGGGAGUUUGUGAGUUAGAAUCUGUUUUCACCCCUCCCCCCUUUUUAGCCAUUCUAUUUAAACUUUUAAAUAUACCCCAUGGGCAAAGAAUAUUCUGUUUUAGAGGUACUUGUAGGCUGAAUUAGUUGCUGAACUAUCUAAGAAUGGUGGGACUUUUAAAAAUACCUAAAAAGAGCCAUAUGUGAAGUUACUUUGCUGGUUGAUGGUGGCGCUUGACUUUAAUCUAAACCAGCACCUAAGAGGCAGAGGCAGUGGGUCUCAGGCAGCCUGGUCUUGAGUGAGUUUCAGGACAGCCAUGGGUACACAGAGAAACCCUGUCUCAGAGAACGGAAAUAAAUUACUUUAUUGUAGAUGUAUUGGUAUAUAAUUUCCUGAAGUGUUGAAGUGCUUGGAUAUUAAAUGACAACUUCUUGCACCCAUGUCACACACUUUCUUCAGCUUAUCUCUGCUUUGUUAAAAUCCCACCUUUUAGAUGUUCUUUGCUUACCCUCCAGUUCCCAGUUACAAUUCCACUUCUACUCUACUGACUACAGGUUGGAGCCCACAUUUUUUAACUACCUGAAUUCUAAGUUCUUUAUAAUUUUGUAACUUUACUGCUUGUAAACCAUGCUAGAGGUUGUGGCUCCUCUUCUAACUUCAGUCUUGGGUUUGUAUUUGUUUAUCUUUCUGCCAGAGGGCUUUCUCAGUCUCUCCUGUCUAUGUGCUGGUCACAUCUGGAGUAAAGAAGAGAGGUCUCAGGUAGUUUAGUCAGAACAGACAUGGAUAAACUUCUUAACAUUCCUACUAGCUUUGUGUCCUGGGCAGGAUAUUCAGCUUCUGUGAAUAAUUGUUUUAUUUUGAAAAUGAGCAUUUAUACUUUAUAAGGUUUGUAGAUAAAGUAUUCAGAGUAUCUCAUUGAUACCUUCUCUGAGAAUCUUGUUUCCCUUCAUUGACUUCUUUAUGGUUUUUGAUACCAAAAAGUAAGGAUUUAUUGUCACACUGUUUGGGCACCAAAUAUCCAUACAAUUUACACAUUCUGUUUACUCUUAGUCAAGAGGACUGAAAGCUAGAAUGACCAAUCCAGAGUAAUGUUUGAACCAGAGAGAUAAUAGUUACAUAUGCUUUGCUUGAAUGUAUCUAAAAGUGAUCAAUAGCUUAAUGUUGACUUCUCUCUAGUCCUCUUCAGUACUUACCAUGAGCCUCAGAUGAGCAUCUACUCCAUAAUCUCCAGAGAAAAUGAAUUUUUCAGUAUAGAACUAUUCAAGAAGAACAGAGUCUGGGAUAAUUUGGCUGUGUUCUUUAGAAGCAGCUAGGGGUGAGGUGCAUGCAUGUACAUAAUUAUCAGUGCUUCUGUGAAGUCAUAGGUUGAUUUAUAGUCUGCCCUCAUUGAAGAGUGUCACAUGGUGUCCGGGUCAGAUAAGUCACACAUUAAGCAUAGCGGAGUCUCUGUGUUACAUAUACUUUUAC